UGGGUAUAUUGUUGAAACCUAAGGGCGCAAUUAAAAUAACUAUUUUAUAUGGGAUUACAAGUGAAUUAAAUUUCAUUUCUUCAUCCCGGGGCGUUCUAUACGAACAUGGUGCAAGCAAUUGUGCCCUCUGUUCAAGAGCGUACCUUGAGCAUACAUGCUGUGACCCGAAAGAUGGUGAACUAUACCUGAUCAGAUCRAAGCCAGGAGAAAUUCUGGUGGAGGAUCGAAACAGUUCUGACGUGCAAAUCGAUUGUCAGAAUUGGGUAUAGGGGCGAAAGACCAAUCGAACCAUCUAGUAGCUGGUUCCCUCCGAAGUUUCCCUCAGGAUAGCUGGCGCAAAGAAUUAUAUUGUAUAUAAUCUUAUCUGGUAAAGCGAAUGAUUAGAGGCCUUGGGGCCGAAACGACCUCAACCUAUUCUCAAACUUUAAAUGGGUAAGAACCUCAUCUUUCUUGAUCUGAAGAUAUUGGGGUUUAGAUAUAUUGUGCCCAGUGGGCCACUUUUGGUAAGCAGAACUGGCGCUGUGGGAUGAACCAAACAUGAUGUUACGGCGCCUAAAUUAAUGACUCAUAUUGAUACCAUGAAAGGCGUUGGUUGCUUAAAACAGCAGGACGGUGGACAUGGAAGUCGUAAUCCGCUAAGGAGUGUGUAACAACUCACCUGCCGAAGCAACUAGCCCUUAAAAUGGAUGGCGCUCAAGUCAUAUGCCUAUACAUCAUCGCUAGAAUAAAAAUUGUUGACUUUCGGGUCAUCAAUAUGAAAUUCUAGUGAGUAGGAGGGUACAAUGGUGUGCGCGGAAGUGUUUGGCGUGAGCCUGCAUGAAGCCGCCAUUGGCACAGAUCUUGGUGGUAGUAGCAAAUAAUCGAAUGAGAUCUUGGAGGACUGAAGUGGAGAAGGGUUUCGUGUGAACAGUGGUUGAUCACGAGUUAGUCGGUCCUAAGCUUUAUGCGAAAGCUGUUUAAUUUAUGUUACACACACAAUUUCCAAUUUUGUUGUACAUAAUUCAAUAAAAGCGAAAGGGAAUACGGUUCCAAUUCCGUAACCUGUUGAGUAUACGUUUGUUUAUUAAAAAUGGGUCUUAUUACACUCAUCCUGGCAACAGGAACGACCAUAGAGAAGCCUUCGAGAGAUACUGGAAGAGUUUUCUUUUCUGCUAAACAAACGUAUCACCAUGGAAGUCUUUUAUAGAGAGAUAUGGUGAAUGGCUUGGAAGAGCAUGACAUUUACUGUUGUGUCAGUAUUUUCUCCUUGGACCUUGAAAAUCUAUGGUGGGGCCACGCAAACUUUCUCAACAGACCGUACCGAUAUCCGCAGCCG
rnacentral:rRNA from 1 species